CCCUUAGAGUUUGAUCCUGGCUCAGAAUCAACGCUGGCGGCGUGCCUAACACAUGCAAGUCGAACGCGAAAGGGGCUUCGGCCCUGAGUAGAGUGGCGAACGGGUGAGUAACACGUGGGUGAUCUACCUCUGAGUGGGGGAUAACGUUCCGAAAGGAGCGCUAAUACCGCAUGACGUCCUGGGUUUGAAUACCUGGAAACCAAAGUCGGGGACCGCAAGGCCUGACGCUUGGAGAGGAGCCCGCGCCUGAUUAGCUAGUUGGUGGGGUAAUGGCCUACCAAGGUGACGAUCAGUAGCCGGCCUGAGAGGGCGGACGGCCACACUGGGACUGAGACACGGCCCAGACUCCUACGGGAGGCAGCAGUGGGGAAUUGUUCGCAAUGGGCGCAAGCCUGACGACGCAACGCCGCGUGGAGGAUGAAGGUCUUCAGAUUGUAAACUCCUGUUGACCGGGAAGAAUGGACCCCGAAUUAAUACUUUGGGGUAUUGACGGUACCGGUUGAGGAAGCCACGGCUAACUCUGUGCCAGCAGCCGCGGUAAUACAGAGGUGGCAAGCGUUGUUCGGAAUUACUGGGCGUAAAGGGCGCGUAGGCGGUCGCCUAAGUCGGACGUGAAAUCCCCAAGCUUAACUUGGGAACUGCGUCCGAUACUGGGUGACUUGAGUUCGGGAGAGGAAUGUGGAAUUCCAGGUGUAGCGGUGAAAUGCGUAGAUAUCUGGAGGAACACCGGGUGGCGAAGGCGGCAUUCUGGACCGAAACUGACGCUGAGGCGCGAAAGCCAGGGGAGCAA
rnacentral:rRNA from 1 species